rnacentral:lncRNA from 1 species
CUCCUAGCAUCUCUGCAGGGCUAGCCCAGAGGUUGGCGGCGGAAGGCCCACAGCUCCCCUGGCUCCAUGGGCAAUGACCGAACAGCCCUUCACCUCUCUGGGCCUUGUUUUCUCAAACUGAAACUGGAGAGGAUGACCCCAGCCUGGGACCUUCGAGGGCCUCAAAAGGGCUCUGGGCCUUGCGUGAGACAGAGUCUGAAUCUGUGACCUAGUCUGGAGUGCAGUUGCAAGAUCACAACUCGCUGCAACUUCAACCUCCUGGGCUUAAGCAAUUCUCCUACUUCAGCCUUCUGAGUAACUGGGACUACGGGUGUGUGCCACCACACCUGGCUAAUUAUUUUGCUUGUUUUUUGUACAGACAGAGUCUUGCUGUGUUGCCCGGGCUGGUCUCGAACUCCUGGGCUCAAGUGAUCCUCCCGCCUUGGCCUCCUGAAGGGCUGAGAUGACGGCAUGAGCUGCCUCACGCAGCCCCCAUUCUACACCUCUGAAGUGAGUUUACAUGGUACAGUUGCUGUCUGGCUAGCUGCCGUCCCAACAUCACUGUCAGGACCCACACCUGAAAAGCACCAGCAUCAAAUCCUUCAGAAGAGUGUCAGCAGCUUGGAAGAAAUCCUAGAGGCAAGCAGAACCCUUUUUAGCCCUGGGACUCAAAUGGUGGGAAACCCCAGGGGAAGGGAACCAGGCUUGUCAGUGACACUCCCUUUUUUUUUUUUUUUUUUUUUUUGGUGAGACGGAGUCUCGCUGUGUCUGUCGCCUAGGCUGGAGUGUAAUGGUGCAAUUUCGGGUCACUGCAACCUCCGUCUCCCGGGUUCAAGCAAUUCUCCUGCCUCAGCCACCUGAGUAGCUGGGAUUAUAGGCACCUGCCACCACGCCCAGAUGCUUUUUUGUGUUUUUAGUAGAGACAGGGUUUCACCAUGUUGGCCAGGCUGGUCUCGAACUCCUGACCUCAGGCAAUCCACCCACCUCGGCCUCUGAAAGUGCUGGGAUUACAGGUGUGAGCCACCACGCCCGGCCUGUCAGUGACACUCCUAGAGCAGAGUGAAAACUCGGCUCCACUUCAUCUGCACAAUUGUAAAGCUGGCUUAAGAGCGCCUGGCUGUUUUAUGGAAUGUUUGGAGCAGUACUGCUCUCCGUAGAACUCUCAAGGACUCAGAGAAGGAGGUGGCAGGCAGACACAGACAUCACGACUCUCAGACCAAAAAUGAUUCAAACAAGUUGGACUCUAAAUGUGAAGGAGUUUUCUCCUGCAGGCUGGACGAUGAAUGUGAUGGCUGGAACUCAAGCAGCCACAGUGGAUCAUAAGGGACGGUGUCUUGCUAUGUUGUCCAAGCUGGUCUCAAACUGGCCUGAAUCAAUGCUUCCACCUCAGCUGCCAGAGGAACCGGGAUUACAGGCCUGAGCCACUGCAGCCAGCCAGUUUGUUAUUUUAAUGUAAAUUCUUAGUAAACAACUCAGGAGCUCUCUUGUCCUUUUAAAAUCCAUUUCAACUUCUGCUAAUCGGAGUGUAUAUUCAGGGCAACUUGAAUCUGUGCUCCUGGGAUGCAAUCCUCAAGCUUGGCCCAAAUAAAGUCUCCGCUGAUAUUAAUUUUGCCUAGGCUUCUUCCUUUUAGGUCAACACUCUUCAGGCUCAUGUUGGGGUCUGUUCAGCUGCGUUUCAAAGGGACUCUAGACCCAGGAAGGCCCAGAACCACUGAUGCUGAGUAACACCCUUGGCCUUCUGGUCUCAGUUGCUAUGGCCUUGGGCAUGCUAGGACAGGCAAGUGAGUUUCACUGGGGCAUGUGUUGUUGGGUGGAUGUUUCAGCUUCUUUUCUUUUUUUUUUUUUUUUUUUUUUUUUUGAGACAGACUCCUGCUCUGUCUCCCAGGCUGGCAUGCAGUGGCACGAUCUCGGCUCACUGCAACCUCCACCUCCCAGGUUCAAGCAAUUCUCCUGCCUCAGCCUCCCUCCCCAGUAGCCGGGAUUACAGACAUGCGCCACCAUGCCCAAGUAAUUUUUGUAUUUUUAGUAGAUAUGGGAUUUCUCCAUGUUGGCCAGGCUAGUCUCAAACUCCUGACCUAAAAUGAUCCACCCGCCUUGGCCUCCCACGGUGCUGGGAUUACAGGUGUAAGCCACCCCGCCUGGCCUGUUAUGUUUUUUAACAUUGGUCUUUCGGCCACCAAGAGCCCAGGAAGGCCACACGCACAGCUCUGCCAGGUGCAGCCCAGAUGUCCAGGGCUCUCUGGUCCAGGACACCGUGGCCUGGUCUGCCCUUAUCUCCAGGCCUGAAGCCCCACCUGUCCAACCUGGAGACAGCUAUGCAAGGUUCUCUUGCCAGGUGCUGUUUAAUCUUGGGCCCUCCAGGGCCUGGAGCAGCUUCCAGGGCCAGUCCUCCGUGCCCCCACCCAAGGACGUCCUCACUCCAGCAAGCUCAGCCACAUGCUCAGCAGUCAGGGCCACUGAGGCCACAGCCCCACCGCCACCCACACCAGGCUGUCCUAGAGGGCCACCCCAGCCCUGGAAGCCCUCUCAACCCUUCCUAGAGGCCCAGCCAGUGGCAACAGACCUUGGAGGGGACACUUCCUCUAGAGGCCUUGCUUGGCCUCAGCCAGCCCAGAUAAUAGCCCAGGAGCAGAGGAAACAGGCAGCAGAGUGACAGAGACGGAGCUGGGCUUCCCCGAUAGCAGGGAGCUGCCUGGGUAGCGUGGGGUGCACAGCCAGUGGGGUGGGCUAUUUGCUACCACCACCCCCUAUUUACUAAUGGAGACACUCAUUAGCUCACAGGUGCCCUGUAGGAAGCUCCACGUCUGUUUUCUCAUUUGUAUGAUGAGAGGAUAAAGAGGUGGUAUCCGGGAAAGAAAGGGGCUUUGUGUUAUGCGUGUCCAUGAGGACAACACUGUACCCCCGAGUUUGGCAGGAGAGGAGAGGCAGGCAGUUUACCAGGGCAGCUCGAGGUGCAGUCAGCCUCCUUCCCUGCCCCCACCUGGGACCCCUGAAGGGGUGGCAGGUUGUGGGAGAGAACCACAGUGACAGAGGUUGGUGGGCAGCACGACUCGGGUAGGCUGAGCACCUGCAACCCUGGGCAGGGAGGCUGGCUCCCCUCCUACUGAGUGUCUGUUCUCACAGACGUGACCACAAGCACCCAGCCCCUCCACCUUCAGCAAGCAGCUCCCUGGAUGCACCCUCCCUCCCAACACAUCUCCACCUCCACCUCCUGGGCAUUGCUGUCAUCAUGGGUCCUGCUCCCUGCUGCCCAUCUGGUGCCUCUCCCAGCCUCCCAGCUUGGGGGCUGCACACGGUAGCCCAU